rnacentral:rRNA from 1 species
ACGUAAGGUCCGAGCGUUGUCCGGAAUCAUUGGGCGUAAAGGGUACGUAGGCGGGUAAGCAAGUUAGAAGUGAAAUCCUAUAGCUCAACUAUAGUAAGCUUUUAAAACUGCUCAUCUUGAGGUAUGGAAGGGAAAGUGGAAUUCCUAGUGUAGCGGUGAAAUGCGCAGAUAUUAGGAGGAAUACCGGUGGCGAAGGCGACUUUCUGGCCAUAACCUGACGCUGAGGUACGAAAGCGUGGGUAGCAAACAGG